rnacentral:rRNA from 1 species
AAGAGUCUGACCUGCCCGGUGAUUUUUUAACGGCCGCGGUACUCUGACCGUGCAAAGGUAGCAUAAUCAUUUGCCUUAUAAUUGAAGGCUAGUAUGAAGGGUCUGACGAAAGUUUAGCUGUCUCUUAUUGAUUAAAAUGAAAUUGACUUUCAAGUGCAAAGGCUUGAAUGGUACUAUCAGACAAGAAGACCCUAUUGAGCUUUUAUAAAAUUUAAUGAUAUUUUCAUAGGUUUACACGAUUUUAAUUCAUUAGUUUUUUUGGUUGGGGCGACUCAGGAACAACUAAAGCUUCCUGGUGUAAAUGAUUAAUUUUUAAUAAUAGAUCCAGAAUAUUCUGAUUAACAGAAUAAGUUACCAUAGGGAUAACAGCAUAAUCUUUUUUGAGAGUUCUAAUCGAAAAAAAGGCUUGUGACCUCGAUGUUGGAUUAGAGUAUCUUAAGGGUGCAGCAGCUCUUUUAAGUUGGUCUGUUCG